CAUCUCCCGCUCUCCGCUGUCGUUGGCUCCUCCCCGUCGCCGCCGCUCGCGCCACCUCCCCUUCCUACUUCUUCCUCUGUCUGUUGCCGCCCUUCGCGCCGCCGGCCGGAAGGAGACCGAGUUCAUCGCGUCGCCAUGGCUGGAGGAAGUGCAGGUCUUCGCUGCCCUGAUUCGUCCGCGCUCGCAGGUGAGAAAACCCUAGUGCGCCGCCUCACACUCCCAUGUUCCACCCUCUUCUCCCGUCGCCCUUCUCGCGCCCCCCUCCCCACGACGUGCUCCUCUUCUAAUCCCCUUGCCUCACCACUCCCUUGAUUCCUCAUUGCUCUCUCUACGUGCGGCAGUGUCCUUGGGUCAAGAUCCCAUCGCCGCCAUAGCCCGGAACUCCGGCUGUCACUCGUGCCGUCUUUCACAGGGAGGAGCACAUGAGUGGAAAAUCGCCGGGAGGAGCGGAAGGCUGCCGCAGUUUCGAGCGACCGCGAGUUGAGGGAGAGAAAGAGAGAGAGAAAGAGGAGGCUAUGUAGGGAGGAGGAGGAGCAACCCGAGGAGGAGGUGCGGCAACAGUAGCAAGUGGUGGUCUGUACCUCCAUCCCUAGCCCCUCUACAUCGGCCAACCGCCGGCUGGCCGACUCAGCCUUCUUCGGCCCCAUCUCUACUCCUCUACGUCCUUGCGAUUCAAGAUAAGGUGUUCGAGGAAAAUCAAACGAAGCUGCAGGUAGAGGUUAAUUCAUUUUUAUGUUAUGGUGUCUACUCAAUAGUUCAUUUCUUCUAAAAUAUACUUGCCAUCAAUGAUGAAUUACCUAUUUGAUAUUACUCUCUCUUAGUUAUGUGAAUUGUAUUUUUAUAUAUAUACCUCUUUAGGUUAUGUGACUUUCAUGUAUGUAAACUCAUUUCACUCAGAGUUGGAACUGGAGCUACGAGUUUGGAUAAAGUAGGUGGAGAAACCUUUAGGUUUAUUUGAUUGGCCUUACCUAUUUGGUUUUGCUUCCAAUUCAAUGGGGUGCACGACGGGAUGUGCAAGGUACUGGCCAUCUCAGAGUUGAGCUAUGUGUUUCUAAGUGCACUUUGUUUCUCCCUUUGCAACGACGUGACUUUAGCGGCUCUGAGUUCUCUGAGAUGAUUGACUUGAAACAGGGUUCCAUAUUCAUUGAUUCUCGAAGAGUUCCUUUAUUCAUACCACGGUUGAUUUGUACAUAUCGGGUUGACCCUGAUUUUGUUGAAUUUCAUGGGAAAUGUUGAGAAGAUCAGCCCUAG